rnacentral:rRNA from 1 species
UACGAGGGGGGCAAAUGUUGUUCGGAAUCACUGGGCGUAAAGGGAGCGUAGGCGGGUUCUUAAGUAAGGUGUUUAAUCCCGGGGCCCAACCCCGGACCGGCACUUUAAACUGGGAAUCUUGAAUAGUGGAGAGGUCAGUGGAAUUGGGGUGUAGCGGUGGAAUGCGUAGAGAUCCCCAAGAACACCAGUUGCGAAGGCGGCUGACUGGACACAUAUUGACGCUGAGGCUCGAAAGCAUGGGGAGCAAACAGG